GAUCAACGCUGGCGGCGUGCCUAAUGCAUGCAAGUCGGACGGGGUGGUCUUCGGACCACUUACGUGGCGGACGGGUGAGGAACACGUGGACAACCUGCCUCGAGGUGGGGGAUAGCCCGUGGAAACGCGGGGUAAGACCGCAUGUGGUCGCCUGGCUGUGGGUCGGGUGAUGAAAGCCUUCGGGCGCCUUGAGAGGGGUCUGCGACCGAUUAGCUGGUUGGUGGGGUAACGGCCUACCAAGGCGGUGAUCGGUAGCUGGUCUGAGAGGACGGCCAGCCACACGGGGACUGAGACACGGCCCCGACUCCUACGGGAGGCAGCAGCAAGGAAUUUUCCGCAAUGGGCGCAAGCCUGACGGAGCAACGCCGCGUGGGGGAGGACGCUUUUCGGAGUGUAAACCCCUUUUCUCAGGGAAGAUGAUGACGGUACCUGAGGAAGAAGGACCGGCUAACUACGUGCCAGCCGCCGCAGUAACAC
rnacentral:rRNA from 1 species